rnacentral:lncRNA from 1 species
CCAUUACCCUUGCUACCACAAGCCACUAAACCACAGUGGCUUCUGUUGGAACAGAAUGAGUUGUUUGUUCAAGAUUUAACAGAACAAACAAAACCCUGAUUGCUUCCCACCACUUGUAUCCUUCUCACUAACCGCCUACGUGCCCUUCUGGGGCUGCCCCCAUUGCGUGGUUUUACUUCCUUUUUUUAGCCUGGACUCUUUGUAUUGUCAUUUUUAGCACAGUUGCUGGGUUUAUUUAUUGUUUGAGGGAAGGGAGGAAAUCAAUGACUUGGGGCACUGUGGGCCACCUGGAAAACUGAUGUUUGGACUUCUAAUCAAUACAAUUCAGGGCAAAAUAAGCUACAGAAUAUGUAUUUCAAUAACAAAACAGCAUACCUUGUCCUGAAAGGAAGGGUGGAUGUUUUCCUUUGCCUAUUUUUUACCUAUACCCAAAGAAAUACCAUCUUACACACACAGUAUUCUUAGCUGGUGGGUCUUUGUGAAUAUUACUUAUGUAUAACACCAUGAAUGUUAAUAUUUUUAAUGAUAAAACAACUGUUCAAAGUUGGUUUUUUAAGGUUAAACUAAAAGAAAACAUUUAUUCAAUUCAGUGUACAAUCUGUAUUGCACUUUUUCACAUUUUAAUGCUACGUUUUCUUACAUAUCCUGUGAUUUUCAAUUUGGACAUUGUGUAUCCUCGUAGUGUCAUAGUCAAGCUGUUGAGUGGCAGCUUCCCUCAGAGAGAUUUGGGGAAAAAGCAAACCUGUAUAUUGUUUUAUGAUUCUCAUGUAGAAUAAUUUUAAGGACUGCUGUAGACAUCUACCUUUCUGUACAAUUUUUUUUUUUUUUUUGCUUUUCUGUAGUAUUUGCUGUAUACUCUAUGGCUUUUUUUAAUAACUUCAUGUUUUAUUUAUUUUGUAUUGGACAUCCAAUACACUUUUUUUUAAUCCAAUCAAAUUCUGGUCUGUUUGGAGAGUUUCUCUUCUCAGCUACUCCUCUACUUCCCU